rnacentral:misc_RNA from 1 species
GUAUACAAUUGACGGUGGAAUGAAGAAAAUAAGUGGAAAAAUAAUAACUAGCUAGUUGAAAGCCAACCAAUGUUGACUUCUUUAACAGCCUAACCAACCAAAACUAUAAAAAUUGAAAACUAGUUACUAAAAAUUAACUAACUAAAUUUGAAGUAUGUUCUAGAUCCUUGAAUGUAGACUCCAUCUGAUAUACAUGAAUUUGCUUUAGCUGAGGGCCUUCUUCCUAUUCUCACACUUCACACUUCCUGCAACAGAAA